UACGAAGGGUGCAAGCGUUACUCGGAAUCACUGGGCGUAAAGCGUGCGUAGGCGGUUUCUUAAGUCUGUCGUGAAAGCCCUGGGCUCAACCUGGGAAUGGCGAUGGAUACUGGGAGGCUAGAGUGUGAUAGAGGAUGGUGGAAUUCCCGGUGUAGCGGUGAAAUGCGUAGAGAUCGGGAGGAACACCAGUGGCGAAGGCGGCCAUCUGGAUCAACACUGACGCUGAGGCACGAAAGCGUGGGGAGCAAACAGGG
rnacentral:rRNA from 1 species